AGACAUGAGGGCGAUCUGGCUGCGACAUCUGUCACCUCACUGAUUGCUAGGGUUGAUUUGGCUGUGUCCCCUUCCUCCCUCACUGAUCCAUGUGCGUCUCUCCCAUAACUGCACACUUGGUCACAGGGGACAACAUUCCCCAUAUAGAAAAGGACUGGUCUUUGGUCAAGGGUAUAUGAAUUGCUGCACUCUGCUGCUAGAACCUCCAAAGAAGCUCUCAAGAUUAACCAUCUCAAGAGUCAUCAUUCCCAUUUUACAGACAGAUUAAGAUUCCUAACAAAACACAAGGUGAUAUAUGUAAGUAUUU
rnacentral:snRNA from 1 species